rnacentral:rRNA from 1 species
UACGUAGGUGGCAAGCGUUAUCCGGAAUUAUUGGGCGUAAAGCGCGCGUAGGCGGUUUUUUAAGUCUGAUGUGAGAGCCCACGGCUCAACCGUGGAGGGUCAUUGGAAACUGGAAAACUUGAGUGCAGAAGAGGAAAGUGGAAUUCCAUGUGUAGCGGUGAAAUGCGCAGAGAUAUGGAGGAACACCAGUGGCGAAGGCGACUUUCUGNGUCUGUAACUGACGCUGAUGUGCGAAAGCGUGGGGAUCAAACAGGAUUA